AUGAUUCUAGGACCUGGAAUCAUACCAGCCGAUGGUUUGAAGCACUCCUCUGGUUUGAAGGAUAGAUACCUUCCUGGGAUCAAGUGCAUCCUAACUCAUCUGCUACCAUAUAACUGGAAUUACCGAUGCAAGUCGAAGAAGGAUUGGCCGGUGCUGCCAGCUGGCGUCAAGUUCGGUCCCACGGAUCAAGAGCUGAUCGAGCACCUUGAGGCCAAAGUGAGUGCUGACAGCGCGAGAUCUCACCCACUCAUCGAUUUGUUCAUACCAACCAUCGACAGCGAGCAUGGCAUAUGCUACACCCAACCUGAGAAACUUCCAGGUAUCACACUGAGUGGCCUAAGGAAGCAUUUCUUCCAGCACAAUUCCAGGACGUUCAAAAGGGGCACGUGGACGCGUCGCAAGAUACAGUCGGAGUGCGGCAUGCACGCGAUGUGGCACAAGACCGGCAAUACCUUGCCGGUGAUGGUCAACGGUCGGCAGACGGGCAGCAAAAAGGUUCUGGUGCUGCACACCAACAAGAACUUCGACUAG
rnacentral:rRNA from 1 species